rnacentral:lncRNA from 1 species
UCGUCAGAAACUUCAUUUUAUUAGCAAGAAAGAUCAAUGCACGAGUUCAGUUGAAAAACCAUUGACAACAGACGCGGUAUACAAGCACCACACGGCACGGCAAUGCCAACCCUAAAAGUGGAAAUGACAGCAAUGCUGGAAGAAUUGUACAGCCAGCAGCACUGCAUUCAAUUCAUGGCUAGAAAUCACCAAUCUGCCGCUUCUCUUUCUUUUUCGCAAAAGACCAAUGCUGAUGUUGGUAUGAGUUCAGUUGAAAAAC